rnacentral:lncRNA from 1 species
UGGCUGGUUGAAGUGCCAGUCACGCGGUUAAUUUGGCAAAAUUGAAAUGUAGUCGAGUUCUUCCGUUAGGAAAACGAGAACUGCGGCAUCGCCGUGGAAUCGAAAAUUAUUAUGACUCUGGUAUCACUUCAUCAAUCUCCAAUAUGUCAUGACGCAACGCCGAGGUCAAAAAGGACUCACUCUCAAGCUUCUGAACAUCGUAGUUGGCCAGUUGCAUCGACUGGACUCAGAUGAGGAGACAAUCUCCAUGAUCAAUUUCCGAUACUGAUGUAACAGUCCGGAUGACUUGAUGUAACCAUUAUUACAGACGAAGAGAUCAUGGGCCCUAAAAGCUUGGACGGAAAAAUUAUGUCGGAUCAUGAAUUGUUAGUCUUAAAAACUGCGCGGCACUUCAAAUUCCUCCUCGGAGAAGUUUAUUUGAUGACAGACCGAAUAAACUGGCCUUUGGUACCACUAGUGUUACUGCAGCAUAUUUUGCAGAUAACAGGUGGGAUUCUACUAUUAACUGAUGCCACCAAUACGCCUUCGUCUCUGGUGCCGGCAGGUGCUCUUGCUCGUAAAAUGCAUUGCCUAGUAGCACCGAUAGGCUACACGACUCUUGCGAUUUCUUGGCGGAAGACUAACAUGAUGAUUGAAAUUGCCGAGGAAGUCAAUGAAGUUUUGUUAACCGACCAGAUCCCCAUUUCAAGUUCUUUGCGUGCGGAAAUCAUCACAGACUUGGAGAAUCGUCACCGGGUAAUCAUCAUCUGUGCAAUGUCAGGUGCACAGCUCAUGAUUUUGUUCUACUUCGUGCCUCCUAUCCUGAAAUUCCUGACCAGCGCUCCGUCAUCGCGACAGCUUGACCUCCCGCUGAAUUUACCGGAUCCGCUCUCUCUCAUCGGGUUCGCACCUACUGACGUAUCGCGUGCAAUAGUCUAUUUCAUUGGCUUCCUCACUAAUAUGUCUCAGUUCUACAUCCUUUACCUCGGGAAAUCGCUCACCUUUGUCAUUAUGGAUUCCCUGAAGACAGCAUUCUUCAUCUGUGGACAAAGUUUACAGACCUUUGGUCAUGAAGAAUUCUUGACUACGGAACAAUUUUUGAGCGCUGUGAAGCUUCAUCAACGUUUGUACAGAUUGUCCUCAAAAGUGAAAAACACUGUUGAACCCUACUUCAUGGUGAUCUUGACAGCGGCAAUCUGCUAUAAUACAACUUGUGCAUUAGCAAUUACUCAUCAGGAAUUUGAUGUUCAUAACGCUAAAUUGAUGUUCGGUAUGGUGGUUUCUCUUGCAAUCGUCAGCUGUCUCUUUAUUCUACCGGGUUCGACCACCCACCAGGCUGAAGAUCUGGCUAAUCGCAUAUACUUCAAUGAAAAUUGGUUGGUACGAAGACUUAAAUGUGCUUGCCACUUCCCAUUCAUGAUAAUGCGAUCAAACAAACUAGUAAAAUUUCGACUUUACAACUGUUGGGUGGUGUCGGAAGAAAAUUUCCUAAAGUAUCUACAACUUCUCUAUAGUAUUUAUAUUGUUUUGCAGUCUACAAUUCCGAGUUCUACAAGAGAAACUGGCCCGGAUGCUAUCGUUAAAGUAUCCAGUUGAGUGAGCAACCGCCAUCAAGUAACUGGAACAAUGAAAUUAAUAUUCAAUCUGAGACUACUUUGAAAUUAUUUUCGUGACUCAUGGACAAUUUACAAUUUGCCACUUUAUAAUCAUAAUACUCUAAGUUGAAUUUUGUGUUUAAAUGGCUUUUAUCAGUUUUAAAAAUAAUCGAUUUGGAUGUAUGAGCUUUUUUUUAUAAAAUUAUCUUUAAUUUCGUCAUACAUAACACAUUUUAACCAGAUAAAACCUGUAAAAUUAGCUAAAAAGACUAGUCAUGUAUUCGUAUAUUC